AAGAAUUACUUCGUGAACGCAAAGGAAAGCUUUUAGAGAGCCACAGCCCAUCAACAAAGCGCCAAAUCACAACAAUAUCUUUCAUCAAGAAGAAAGCAGCUGCAAAUACAAUCCAAGAUGAAAGGCAUUGGAUUAUAUCGUUCGUUAGCAACUGUUGUUACAAAGAAAUAAGAAAAUUCCUAGGUUGCGAUAGUUGUCAUAAAAGGACAGACACUGAAAAAAAUGAAGUGUUUAGUUGCCAAUGGUGUCACCAAAAAGAUAGCAUAUCAAUGCCCAGGUCUGAUUUUAUAGUUCUAUAUGCUUGACAUUGAAGUGUGUUCACUAUUUUGUAAUGAUUAGCUCUUAGUUUAAUUUUGAUGUCCAAUAUAAUACCGAAACUAUUCAUCUAACGGCCUUUAACGACGUCGUUGCACAACUAUUUCGAAGAACAAUCAAUGAACUUUAUGCUCAUGAAACUUAUGACCAGAUCACCUCUUAUGAAGAAAUCGCAGAAGCACUUAGAUCUACGCCUAUCUACAUUGAACUUGGACCUACUAUGGCCUUAGCAAAGAAUGGUGUUCUGAAAUGGGUGUUAAAGUCAAUCUCACUUGAACCAGUGACUGCACAAGAGCCGAAGACCAAAGAAAUUCUGAUACCAAAUAGCCCGUCAUCAAACGCUCGUAGCAUCAACUGGAAAAGAAGAGCAGUUCUUUGCCCCGUGAUCUGGAAAAGGUGAAAGCUCACAUAUGGUAUCCACUCUGACUGCGAGCAUCACUCCACUUAACUCCCAACUACCAAACUCUGAGUCCGUACAACCUGCUCAAUCCGAAAAUGAAGUUAAAGUGCGCCGUAACUUAGAUUUUUCUCAAAUUCACUCUUCAUCCAAUCCUCCCAAGUCAAGCUCUUGAAAUUCUUCAGUUUCUGUUGCAAACAUGAUGGCUUUGCUCUUUUGAACUUUUAAUCAAAUGCUUGGUUUUCAAACAUUACAUUCUGAAGACUUUAUUUUGCCCACGAAUGCUACAUUUUGCUUAUGACUAUGUCAACAUAUCUACAUUGUAGUGUAUGUUAACAUAAAGUGCUUAUCAAUGACCUAUAUUUGCCUUUUGUCAUCCAUAUGUAGUCAUUUAGAUUAGCAUAUUAGUUUUCAAUGAAGGCUUAUGUCUAUCGGAAUGUCUAAACUAAUA